rnacentral:rRNA from 1 species
AGAGUUUGAUCCUGGCUCAGGAUGAACGCUGGCGGCGUGCUUAACACAUGCAAGUCGAACGGGGAUAAGACAUCGGAAGAGCUGCUUGCAGAUUGGAAGAAGUCAUAUUCUAGUGGCAGACGGGUGAGUAACGCGUGGGCAACCUGCCUUAUACAGGGGGAUAACAGCUGGAAACAGCUGCCAAUACCGCAUAAGCGCACAGUACUGCAUGGUACAGUGUGAAAUACUGAGGUGGUAUAAGAUGGGCCCGCGUCUAAUUAGCUGGUUGGCGGGGUAACGGCCCACCAAGGCGACGAUCAGUAGCCGGCCUGAGAGGGCGGCCGGCCACAUUGGGACUGAGACACGGCCCAGACUCCUGCGGGAGGCAGCAGUGGGGAAUAUUGCACAAUGGGGGAAACCCUGAUGCAGCGACGCCGCGUGGGCGAGGAAGUACCUCGGUAUGUAAAGCCCUAUCAGCAGGGAAGAAACAGGACAGUACCUGACUAAGAAGCCCCGGCUAACUACGUGCCAGCAGCCGCGGUAAUACGUAGGGGGCAAGCGUUAUCCGGAUUCACUGGGCGUAAAGGGAGCGCAGGCGGCAUGGCAAGUCUGAUGUGAAAACCCGGGGCCCAACCCCGGGAGUGCAUUGGAAACUGCCAGGCUGGAGUGUCGGAGGGGUAAGCGGAAUUCCUAGUGUAGCGGUGAAAUGCGUAGAUAUUAGGAAGAACACCAGUGGCGAAGGCGGCUUGCUGGACAGUAACUGACGUUGAGGCUCGAAAGCGUGGGGAGCAAACAGGAUUAGAUACCCUGGUAGUCCACGCCGUAAACGAUGAAUGCUAGGUGUCGGGGAGCAAAGCUUCUCGGCGCCGCCGCAAACGCAAUAAGCAUUCCACCUGGGGAGUACGUUCGCAAGAAAGAAACUCGAAGGAAUUGACGGGGACCCGCACAAGCGGUGGAGCAUGUGGUUUCAUUUGUAGCACCGCGAAGAACCUUACCAAGUCUUGACAUCCCGGUGGCGCAGGCAGAAAUGUCUGUUCUCUGCGGAGCACCGGAGACAGGUGGCGCACGGUUGUCGUCAGCUCGUGUUGUGAGAUGUUGGGUUAAGUCCCGCAACGAGCGCAACCCUUAUUCUUAGUAGCCAGCUAGGUGGUGCUGGGCACUCUAAGGAGACCGCCAGGGAUAACCUGGAGGAAGGGGGGAUGACGUCAAAUCAUCAUGCCCCUUAUGCUUUGGGCUACACACGUGCUACAAUGGCGUAAACAAAGGGAGGGGAAGCCUCGAGGCCGAGCGAACCCCAAAAACAACGUUUCAUUUCGGAUUGCAGGCUGCAACCC